rnacentral:rRNA from 1 species
AGAAUCAACGCUGGCGGCGUGCCUAACACAUGCAAGUCGAACGAGAAAGGGGAGCAAUCCCUGAGUAAAGUGGCGCACGGGUGAGUAACACGUGACUAACCUACCCUGGAGUGGGGGAUAACUGAGGGAAACCUUAGCUAAUACCGCAUAACACCUACGGGUCAAAGGAGCAAUUCGCUUUGGGAGGGGGUCGCGGCCGAUUAGUUAGUUGGCGGGGUAAUGGCCCACCAAGACAGUGAUCGGUAUCCGGCCUGAGAGGGCGCACGGACACACUGGAACUGAAACACGGUCCAGACUCCUACGGGAGGCAGCAGUGGGGAAUUUUGCGCAAUGGGGAAACCCUGACGCAGCAACGCCGCGUGGAGGAUGAAGUACUUCGGUACGUAAACUCCUUUCGAUCGGGACGAUAAUGACGGUACCGGAAGAAGAAGCCCCGGCUAACUUCGCGCCAGCAGCCGC